GGGGAAUCUUCCGCAAUGGACGAAAGUCUGACGGAGCAACGCCGCGUGAGUGAUGACGGCCUUCGGGUUGUAAAGCUCUGUUAAUCGGGACGAAUGGUUCUUGUGCGAAUAGUGCGAGGAUUUGACGGUACCGGAAUAGAAAGCCACGGCUAACUACGUGCCAGCAGCCGCGGUAAUACGUAGGUGGCAAGCGUUGUCCGGAAUUAUUGGGCGUAAAGCGCGCGCAGGCGGAUUGGUCAGUCUGUCUUAAAAGUUCGGGGCUUAACCCCGUGAUGGGAUGGAAACUGCCAAUCUAGAGUAUCGGAGAGGAAAGUGGAAUUCCUAGUGUAGCGGUGAAAUGCGUAGAUAUUAGGAGGAACACCAGUGGCGAAAGCGGCUUUCUGGACGAAAACUGACGCUGAGGCGCGAAAGCCAGGGGAGCGAACGGGAUUAGAUACCCCGGUAGUCCUGGCCGUAAACGAUGGGUACUAGGUGUAGGAGGUAUCGACCCCUUCUGUGCCGGAGUUAACGCAAUAAGUACCCCGCCUGGGGAGUACGACCGCAAGGUUG
rnacentral:rRNA from 1 species